GACGAACGCUGGCGGCGUGCUUAACACAUGCAAGUCGAACGGAAAGGCCCUGCUUGCAGGGUACUCGAGUGGCGAACGGGUGAGUAACACGUGGGUGAUCUGCCCUGCACUUCGGGAUAAGCCUGGGAAACUGGGUCUAAUACCGGAUAGGAGCCAUUUUUAGUGUGAUGGUUGGAAAGUUUUUUCGGUGUAGGAUGAGCUCGCGGCCUAUCAGCUUGUUGGUGGGGUAAUGGCCUACCAAGGCGGCGACGGGUAGCCGGCCUGAGAGGGUGGACGGCCACAUUGGGACUGAGAUACGGCCCAGACUCCGACGGGAGGCAGCAGUGGGGAAUAUUGCACAAGGGGCGCAAGCCUGAUGCAGCGACGCCGCGUGUGGGAUGACGGCGUUCGGGUUGUAAACUCCUUUCGCUAGGGACGAAGCUUUUUGUGACGGUACCUAGAUAAGAAGCACCGGCUAACUACGUG
rnacentral:rRNA from 1 species